rnacentral:rRNA from 1 species
UACGUAGGUGGCAAGCGUUGUCCGGAUGUAUUGGGUUUAAAGGGGGCGUAGGCGGCCCUGUAAGUCAGUGCUGAAAUAUCCCGGCUUAACCGGGAGGGUGGCAUUGAUACUGCAGGGCUUGAGUAAAGUUGAGGUUGGCGGAAUUGACGGUGUAGCGGUGAAAUGCUUAGAUAUCGUCAAGAACACCUAUAGCGAAGGCAGCUUACUAGGCUGUAACUGACGCUGAGGCACGAAAGUGUGGGGAUCAAACAGG